rnacentral:rRNA from 1 species
UACGUAGGGUGCAAGCGUUGUCCGGAAUUAUUGGGCGUAAAGAGCUUGUAGGCGGUUUGUCGCGUCUGCUGUGAAAUUUCGGGGCUCAACCCCGAACUUGCAGUGGGUACGGGCAGACUAGAGUGUGGUAGGGGAGACUGGAAUUCCUGGUGUAGCGGUGAAAUGCGCAGAUAUCAGGAGGAACACCGAUGGCGAAGGCAGGUCUCUGGGCCAUAACUGACGCUGAGAAGCGAAAGUAUGGGGAGCGAACAGG